GCGUUCAUGGUGUAGUGGUCAGCACGCUCGACGCGUAACCGAGAGGUCCAUGGUUUGAUUCCCGGCGAGGGCA
rfam:Stegodyphus mimosarum contig81724, whole genome shotgun sequence.